rnacentral:lncRNA from 1 species
CCUGGCAAAAAUCCAGACACAGAAGGCACAUAAAAGGGGUGAAUAGAAAAACAAUCGAGAAUUGAAAGGUGGAAAAACAAAUGUAGGUAACUACAGACAAUUAUGUGAAAGCAUAAGAACUAACCAUAUUUAAAUCACCUAAAAGCUUAUUCAUCCUUAAAUUAAAAUUCAACAGAGCUUGGAUUAGACAAGCUUCCUGAAUAAGACAAAGUACAGAGACUCUUUCUUCAGCCAUUGUGCUUUAUGAGCAUAAGAUUCAUCCGCUUCUAAGGAUAUCUUAAUUUCUAUGAUUCCAUCCAACCCUAUUUCAUUAUCAGCCUUUGAUUUAUAGAAUGUUCAAAAUGAUGUGGUAGUAGAAAAAGGUUUAUAAGAAUGUUCAUCAUAAAAUUCCAUAUAUUUUUCAGAUAAGUUAAAAACUCAAAAUGGAAAUUUAUUAAUCUCAAAUGGAUUAUAAUGAUAUGCCCUUCCACUUAAGGCACCUAAUGCAUUUACAGAGACUCUUUCUUCAGCUAUUGUGCUUUAUGAGCAUAAGAUUCAUCCACUUCUAAGGAUAUCUUAAUAUCUAUGAUUCCAUCCAACCCUAUUUCACUAUCAGCCUUUGAUUUACAGAAUGUUCAAAAUGAUGUGGUAGUAGAAAAAGGUUUAUAAGAAUGUUCAUCUUAAAAUUCCAUAUAUUUUUCAGAUAAGUUAAAAACUCAAAAUGGAAAUUUAUUAAUCUCAAAUGGAUUAUAAUGAUAUGCCCUUCUACUUAAGGCACCUAAUGCAUUUACAGAGACUCUUUCUUCAGCUAUUGUGCUUUAUGUGCAUAAGAUUCAUCCACUUCUAAGGAUAUCUUAAUAUCUAUGAUUCCAUCCAACCCUUUUUCACUAUCAGCCUUUGAUUUACAGAAUGUUCAAAAUGAUGUGAUAGUAGAAAAAGGUUUAUAAGAAUGUUCAUCAUAAAAUUCCAUAUAUUUUUCAAAUAAGUAAAAAACUAAAAAUGGAAAUUUAUUAAUCUCAAGUGGAUUAUAACGAUAUGCCCCUCUUCUUAAGACACCUAAUGUAUUUCUAAUGAAAAUGUGAACAUUUAUACAGAAGAUUUAAAGAUUGGGAGGCAAACGGAUUUGUUAAACCACUUAAUCUAAAAGCUUAAAUGAAUGCAUGUGUAUAUAAUUGAUAUAUUUUCUUCAACAUGCGCUAGGUUCAUUUUUCCCCAAUCUGGCUCGAGUGGGAGGAAUCUGCCACACCACUUUCCAUAGCAAGAACCGUCAUCUUUCUUGAACCUUCAACUUCCACAAUGCCUUCCAUUCUGCCGGAGCCAAACACGUACACAAUUAAAUGAAAUGGGUGAGGUGAAACUAGAACCUAAG